rnacentral:rRNA from 1 species
UACGGGGGGGGCAAGCGUUGUUCGGAAUUACUGGGCGUAAAGAGCUCGUAGGCGGUCUGUCGCGUCUGCUGUGAAAACUCGGGGCUUAACCCCGGGCCUGCAGUGGGUACGGGCAGACUAGAGUGCGGUAGGGGAGACUGGAAUUCCUGGUGUAGCGGUGAAAUGCGCAGAUAUCAGGAGGAACACCGGUGGCGAAGGCGGGUCUCUGGGCCGUAACUGACGCUGAGGAGCGAAAGCGUGGGGAGCGAACAGG